rnacentral:antisense_RNA from 1 species
GGGAAUGAAUCUAAGCCUCCUGAGACAGUGCCUCCUGCUGCCUGAACGAGAACUGCACCUUUCUCUGCAAGGAUCACUGGAUUUACGUGAAAACUGAGCCCCAGACAGGUUAAGGGGCUUUCCUAAAGUUGCACAAACCCUGUCAUCCAUGGGAGCUUACCACGUGAAUGCAGACACUUUUGUGAGGGGCAGCCUGGACCAUCUUUUGGACUUAAAUGAAAAUAUACUGAUAUGAAGAUUCAGAUGCAUCUACUCCUCGGCUGGGUGGAACAGAGUGAUCCAGGUUGGCAGCCGUCUUGUUGAUGUCCCCUAUGUCAUCCAGAGGGCAGGAGCGGGCAGCUCUCUACCUUGGCAACUGGUUCCUCUCUCUCCAGCUUCAUCUUUUCCAUUGUUUUUUGUUUGUUUGCUUGUUUUGUUUUUACCUUUUACAGAUUGAUUUAAACAUUUUUUAAACCAC